GUGGGGUAAACACUGCAAGCAGUUAUAACCAAUUGUGUAAUGAAUCAUAACAUGUUGAACUCUUAUAUUUUUCACUUAGCUGACAUCUUGUGAGACUAGUCUCGGUCCCUUGUGGACCUGACCCCUUGUGGGCCGUUCAGCUCUUUGAUCCCUUGUGGAUCCGACCCCUUGUGGGUCCCAUUAGUUCAUAUGAAUGACGCACAACACAACAAUGAUUAUAACCAUGUAACAACUACGCUUACAGAUAGAAGUAAACCCCACCUUAAGUGAUUGAAUUCAAACCUCUUCAAGCUUGCUUCGGUUGUCCUCCUCGAGCCUUGGAUGCGCCGCUCCUAGCACUUGAAACACUUUAAACUUAGUUUCAUUACAAGCACUUAUUCUUGAAUAAGCUCUCAUUUCUUUAAACAAUAUUUUUAAUCUCUCUUGAAUAUAUUCUUGAUAAUUCUACAAUACACUUGAAGCCGAAGACCAUAUUUGAACAUUUUAUGAAUCUACAAAUUAUAAAUUCAUAGUUUCAAUUACUAGUAUAAAUUAUACUAAUCUAACUUCAUUAUAAUCAUAUCUAUUUAAUUAUAUAAUAUACUAAGUUAGAUCACAUAAUCUUAUAAUUUAUUCAAUUCUGGCUAAUAAUAUUAAAAGCAAAUGUCUUGUAUUAUCUAUUUAUGUGUUACAAGGUAGAAACAAAUCAUACAAAAAUACUAAUUACAAAUUACCCAAACAAAAAUUAAAAUAAGAAUAACAUAUUAAAACUCAUAUUCGACACAUAUGGAGCUACAUCUCGACGUCUAUUCUGGCCAAUUCGACCUUAGAUCUCAAGAAGAAAACCUAUGAUUAGAACGUCUACGACAUGAGCUACAAACCCCUAAACUUAUUCUCCCUCACGGCAUCGAUUUGACGCCGGAAGGUUGACUCAAACUCGCGCGGAAAUCUUCGCGCACAGACCCGACACCCUGACUUGAUUGGCUCAUAACUCCCUCGUCCGGUGUCGGAUUGACGAUCCGAAGGUACUGUUGGAAAGCCAACGACGAUAGCUUUCUAAUGGUACCUAUAUUGAUGGGGUUGGAUGAAAGAAAACAGAUGAAAAACGGUCUGCAAAGUACGAUCCUGCUGCUGUCAAAAACAAGGGAAAAAUAAAACACAGCAAACACAUGCCGGCAGCCACCACGCCGCCGGAACUACUGUUCCGGUAAUCCCUCCUCCUCACUCACACAACAGACUUCAUCCACCAAUAUCUACUCAAGACCUUUAGCCAUCGAUUAAGAAGAACAAGAAUGGAAGAGAAGUGCAAAACCCUUUCAAAUUCAACAGCAAAAAUCGAAGAAACAAGAAUUAUGAGAAAUUACCUUGAUGGCUGCAGUAAAUCGAUGAGUGGUGAAGAUGGAGAGAAGAGAAAAGACGCAGGGGAG
rnacentral:lncRNA from 1 species